rnacentral:rRNA from 1 species
UACGUAGGGGGCAAGCGUUGUCCGGAAUUAUUGGGCGUAAAGGGCACGCAGGCGGUUUCGUCAGUCCGAUGUGACAGGCCACGGCUCAACCGUGGAAGGCCAUUGGAAACUGCGAAACUUGAGGACAGAAGAGGAGAGUGGAAUUCCACGUGUAGCGGUGAAAUGCGUAGAUAUGUGGAGGAACACCAGUGGCGAAGGCGACUCUCUGGUCUGUACCUGACGCUGAGGUGAGAAAGCAUGGGGAGCAAACAGG